rnacentral:rRNA from 1 species
UACGGAGGAUUCAAGCGUUAUCCGGAUUUAUUGGGUUUAAAGGGUGCGUAGGCGGUCGGAUAAGUUAGAGGUGAAAUCCCGAGGCUCAACUUCGGAAUUGCCUCUGAUACUGUCCGGCUAGAGAGUAGUUGCGGUAGGCGGAAUGUAUGGUGUAGCGGUGAAAUGCUUAGAGAUCAUACAGAACACCGAUUGCGAAGGCAGCUUACCAAGCUACUUCUGACGUUGAGGCACGAAAGCGUGGGGAGCAAACAGG